rnacentral:rRNA from 1 species
GAUGAACGCUAGCGGCAAGCCUAACACAUGCAAGUCGAGGGGUAACAUAGAAAAGCUUGCUUUUCUGAUGACGACCGGCGCACGGGUGCGUAACGCGUAUACAACCUACCUUUUAGCGGGGAAUAGCCCAGGGAAACUUGGAUUAAUGCCCCAUAGUAUAUGGACUUCUCCUGAAGUUUAUAUUAAACAUUUAUGGCUAUUAGAUGGGUAUGCGUCCUAUUAGUUAGUUGGUAAGGUAACGGCUUACCAAGGCAGCGAUAGGUAGGGGUCCUGAGAGGGAGAUCCCCACACUGGUACUGAGACACGGACCAGACUCCUACGGGAGGCAGCAGUGAGGAAUAUUGGACAAUGGGCGAGAGCCUGAUCCAGCCAUGCCGCGUGCAGGAAGACUGCCCUAUGGGUUGUAAACUGCUUUUACAGAGGAAGAACCACCCCCACGUGUGGGGGUUUGACGGUACUCUGCGAAUAAGGAUCGGCUAACUCCGUG